rnacentral:rRNA from 1 species
GGCUCAGAACGAACGCUGGCGGCGUGCCUAACACAUGCAAGUCACGGGGGCCAGCAAUGGCAACCGGCGAACGGGUGCGUAACACGUGAGCAAUCUGCCGAUUUCUGGGGGAUAGCCGGCCCAACGGCCGGGUAAUACCGCAUACGCUUCUUGCGAGGAGUCUCGUGGGAAGGAAACCUCCGGGGGAAAUCGAGGAGCUCGCGGCCUAUCAGCUAGUUGGCGGGGUCAAGGCCCACCAAGGCGAUGACGGGUAGCUGGUCUGAGAGGAUGGCCAGCCACAUUGGGACUGAGAGACGGAACAGACUCCUACGGUUCUCAGCAGUGGUGAUUCU